UUGAGUGAAGAAGGACACACUGACAGCAUUCAAACUCGGAAGGAAAGAGUCCCCAUGAGGUGGGGAACUGAAGAAGGAAUGGACAUUUCAGCAACUGAAGCAAUCAAGGGAGGAAAAGGUGUGCUAAGACCUUGGUUUUCAGCUGUUGUAUUUCAGUGGGAAGCACAGGACACAGGACAAGGACAGCUGAAAACACGGCAAAUCAAAUAAACAGAGAGCAGCUGAUUACAGUUUCUGGCUGAGACUGCAGUGAUAAAAUCGGAAAGCUUCUGAAAGCUGAUAACUCUGAAACAAAUGCUGUGACUUCAGUGCCGUUGUUUGCAGAUGACAGCAGAGCUUCCCGUAAUAACAGCAGAACCGCACAGAAACCAAAGCACGAAUUUUGCUUAAAAAACCGUUUCGAGAGGCGACAAAGUACCGACGAGCCAGCAGUUUCUGCCGCCGGCACUUCACGGCUCCUUCUCUGCGGCUGCCUCCCCGUGAG